UCCCGUGUGGCUCAGUUGGUAGAGCAUGGUGUUUGCAACGCCAGGGUUGUGGGUUCGAUUCUCACGGGAC
rnacentral:tRNA from 1 species